rnacentral:RNase_P_RNA from 1 species
CCAGUUGGCUGGGCAGCCGCGCUUUACCAAUGCCGAAAGGCGGUAGGGUGAGGAAAGUCCGGGCUCCACGGAAACACGGUGCCGGAUAACGUCCGGCGAGGGCGACCUCAGGGAAAGUGCCACAGAAAGCAAACCGCCUGUCAUGCAGGUAAGGGUGAAAGGGUGGGGUAAGAGCCCACCGCAUCUCCGGCAACGGAAAUGGCACGGUAAACCCCACCGGGAGCAAGACCGAAUAGGGAUGACGUGGCAGGCCGAAAGGCCUUCCGGCCGGUUUCCAGGCCAGUCAUCCGGGUGGGUUGCGUGAGGCAGCGUGCGAACGCUGUCCCAGAGGAAUGGCUGCCACGUUCCGGUUCACGCCGGAGCCAUACAGAACCCGGCUUACAGGCCAACUGGCGAU